rnacentral:rRNA from 1 species
AUUGAACGCUGGCGGCGUGCUUUACACAUGCAAGUCGGACGAGUGGCGAACUGGUGAGUAACGCAUCGGAACGUACCGAGUAAUUGGGGAUAACUGUCCGACAGGACAGCUAAUACCGCAUAUUAUUCGAGCGGCCGAUGUCUGAUUAGCUGGUUGGCGGGGUAAAGGCCCACCAAGGCGAGGAUCAGUAGCGGGGCUGAGAGGAUGAUCCGCCACACUGGGACGACGAGACGGCCCAGACUCCUACGGGAGGCAGCAGUGGGGAAUUUGGGACAAUGGGCGCAAGCCUGAUCCAGCCAUGCCGCGUGUCUGAAGAAGGCCUUCGGGUUGUAAAGGACUUUUGUCAGGGAAGCGGUACCUGAAGAAUAAGCACCGGCUAACUACGUGCCAGCAGCUGCGGUAAUUC